rnacentral:lncRNA from 1 species
UGAGGUGAUUUCUAAAGUCUAAGUAAAGGGAACUAUAAUGAAACCAGAGAUCAAAUUUUGAAAGGCAAAUGGCAAAGAAAGAAGAAAGAUCAUUGCCAUUAGACAGAAAGAAAAGUUGUGUCAACAAGGGCCCAGAGCUCAGUGUGUACAGAUGAUGCAUACUGUUUCAUACCGCUGUUAUAAAAAGGCCGUUUUAAUUACCCCACAGAAAUGUGCCUGGGAUGGAGAAUUGUGAGAGUUCAUGAACAGCACUGCCCAACAAUUUAUUGGAAGAGCAGCUGGAACCACAAAGCAAUUGUAUCUCUGCAAAAUAAAAAAGGAUUUCAUUACAACUUGGGGCUGGUGAUACCUAAGGAUAAGAGGCAGAAACAGAGUAAGGAAGCUGACCUAAAGUUAAAAUGGACAGUGGAAUCAAAACAGCCCUGGAAAAGGAGUCUGAGGAUCCUUCAGUCACUAACAAGUGUGCAUCUUGAACAACUCACUUGAUCUUUCUUCGACUUCAUUUCCUCACAUGCAAAAUGAAGAGGCUUGUCUACAUCUAGUUUUGAAUUUUCUAUGUAAAUUUUAAAAAUGAAGAAUGGGGUAUUUGCAACUCUCAAAAGAAUUUCAAAUACCAGAUGAAGUCCCCAUGACAUGAGGUCUUCAAAGAUGGCCAAAGUUUGGGAAGACUUUGAAAAAGCUGAGGAGAACAAUCAGUGAUUCAAUUAAGACUCCAGAGGAAUUCAUAUCAGAACCAUAUAGGUGAGGUCCUAAUUUAUGGUAAAAUCUCUUAACCUAUACUUCAAGUAAAUGGUUUAAAACAAUAUAGAGAGAUUAACAAUCCAAAUACUGAGAGCCUACUGGGUAAAAAGCACUGUCCGAGAAGCUGAAAGAAAGAUGAACACAGUGUGGACCAUGCCAGCGGGAGAUGACUGCUUUGUAAAAAACAGAAAACAAAAAACUCCAGCCCUUGAGCUGCUUGCACACCAUAGACACCUUGAGGCAAUUAGAGACUACAGCUGAUGCAGGCAAAACAAACUCAAUCAAAUCAGCUCACUAAAAGGACUAAAGCGGAUAGUCUGAGUGGAAAACCAUCAACUCAGUCCGGACUAAAAUCAGACAAUUUAGUCAGGGUGUGAAAGCAAACUACUGUUCCAUUAAUUUAACAGACAUAUCACUUUGAACCAGGUGUUUGGCUGACACUAAGCUUCAGCUAGAAAGCAGGAUCUGGCUCGUUUCAAUGUAUUUGUUCUAAAAUAAUAAGAGAAAGACCAGACAGAUGGGAAAACGAAAAUAAAAGCAAAUGACCAAGAUGAAUAUAGAAAUCAUAUCAAAUAUAAAGUAAAAGAAAGAGGAGGAAAGGAAAAUGAGAGGAUUGAAUUAGAUGAUUUCUAAAUGUCCUUUUCCCGUUCUAAAAAAAAAAAAUCCCUUGACUAUAUAUUAAAGAUCAGAAAUUUGAGAAAAUGAGUUAAGAUCAUCCAAACACCCCAAAUAACUCCAGGAUUAUACAUGGAAUAAUGUAUUUCAAAGGACAUUUAUUGAAAGUCCUAUUAAAUUAUUUCCAUUAAAAAAUUGUAAGAACUAGAGUGCCAGGUUUGAAGAUGAGUAAGACACAUUUAACAGUUACAUGAAGAACACAUGCUUACUUCUACAAACUGACAUUCUUUCCUGUGAUCACUUAGGUUACUGGCACUAAAAAUAUUCCAAGCAGAAGGGUAUUUUUCAGCCAGUUACAUAAUUGUAACAUACUUUGUUACUUUCUUUGAAAAAUAGAUUAAAUUACAUCAGAUCCAUAUACUUGACCCAAGAUUUCCAAUUUCUUUUAUAUGACAUCUUGGGGGUGGGGGACAGGGAAGAAAUGAUCUAAGAAAUAAAAUUGAAGCAUACCAUGUUUGCACCAUAAUAAAGCUUCCAAGUUUAAAGCUAAAUUAUCUCUAAAUAUUCUCCCUUAUGUGUCACCCUUAUAUUUUACCCUAGACAGCAUCACUCAGCUCUAGAAGUUUCUAUAGUAAUUUAGAAAGAUUGGAAAUGCUUCAUCUCCUGGAUGCUAAAAUAGUAUUUCCCAUGGGUUUAUUAUGAGGCAAAGCCAGUGGGUAAAACUGCAAGAUAAUUUUAAAUUAAACUAAAACCUGAUCUAGGUGAAUUAUAUUCAUCAAUGCUAACUUGAAUUUUUUAUGGCAAAAUAUCACUAUUUCUAUAUGUUGUUUGUACACAUUUAUCAUGUUGUACUCAGCACACAAUGUAAAAAUAAUAUAAGUAAUACACAAAUCCCAGUACCUUUAGAAGAAAUGGUUAUCAAACAUAUUCAGAUUCUCCAAAAAUGUACACUAAAAAUAAUGUUUUAAUAUCUUACAUAUAAA